rnacentral:rRNA from 1 species
GACGAACGCUGGCGGCGUGCCUAAUACAUGCAAGUUGAGCGCUGAAGGUUGGUACUUGUACCAACUGGAUGAGCAGCGAACGGGUGAGUACCGCGUGGGGAAUCUGCCUUUGAGCGGGGGACAACAUUUGGAAACGAAUGCUAAUACCGCAUAAAAACUUUAAACACAAGUUUUAAGUUUGAAAGAUGCAAUUGCAUCACUCAAAGAUGAUCCCGCGUUGUAUUAGCUAGUUGGUGAGGUAAAGGCUCACCAAGGCGAUGAUACAUAGCCGACCUGAGAGGGUGAUCGGCCACAUUGGGACUGAGACACGGCCCAAACUCAUACGGGAGGCAGCAGUAGGGAAUCUUCGGCAAUGGACGAAAGUCUGACCGAGCAACGCCGCGUGAGUGAAGAAGGUUUUCGGAUCGUAAAACUCUGUUGGUAGAGAAGAACGUUGGUGAGAGUGGAAAGCUCAUCAAGUGACGGUAACUACCCAGAAAGGGACGGCUAACUACGUG